rnacentral:rRNA from 1 species
GCCUGCAUGAAGUUGGAAUUGCUAGUAAUCGCGGAUCAGCAUGCCGCGGUGAAUACGUUCCCUGGCCUUGUACACACCGCCCGUCACACCAUGGGAGCCGGUAAUACCCGAAGUCAGUAGCCUAACCGCAAGGGGGGCGCUGCCGAAGGUAGGAUUGGCGACUGGGGUGAAGUCGUAACAAGGUACC